AAUUUUUGUGGCAAAUUCAUAUUUCAAACUCUUUCUCUCUGGUUCUAAGACGCCUUAAGCUGGCAUGUAGGAUUAAUGUUUGAAAGCUCAUGAAGAAAUAACAAUGUUCAAAGGUGAGUUAAAGUAAUGUUUGAACACUGUCCUUAAGGAAUUAUUUACUUCCACAGACAGAAUGAAGACCACAUGAACCUUAUCCCUUUUGGUUACACUGGCCAGACACCAGAAAUUUUCAUUAUAUAAAUAUUCCCAAGUGGAAUUUUUCUA